UUUAUAUACGGGAUAUUAUGGGGAUAAGGAGAAUAUGGCAAGAUUUUUUUUUUUUUUGGUGCUAUAAUGCCCCUUGUAUGUAUGUUUGCUAAUGAAAAACAAAUAAAAUUCAUAAAGUCUUCCAAUCAAAAACAUCUUUAAUUUAUAUGAAAAAUAUUUGAAUUAAUUUAAAAGGUGUAAUUAACGAAAGUGAUAGUUUAUAAUAAAUUACAUUAUAUGUAUUAGAACAAAUGGGCUUUUAAGUAACUUAAAUUAACAGUCGAAUAAACGGUUCGUUUAUGUACAUAAAACUUUAUAGCAAGGUAUUUUGUUUAAUUUUUUUUGAUAUCACAUAAAUAACAACUUGUAAAUUCAAUCUAGAUCAAAUUGUAAAUCUAAGCUUUUGAAGUGAUUUCCAAGGAGAGAAGUGUAGCAUUUAUUUUGCAACUCUAAACUUGGUUAAUGCUCUACUUGGCAUUGAUGGCAUUAUGUAGAUUAUACCAUGGGGAGAUUUGAGUGAGAUUGUAGAUUUUUAUAAGAAGAAAUUGUCAUUAGUGUGGGAUUAAAUUAUUUUGAAUAUGAGAUUAUGAAGGAAGGGAGUAAUUUGAUAGAAUACUAUCCAAAGGAUCAUUUAGUAUUUACUAAUCAAAGUGACAUACACAAACAAGGUUAAAAUAUAUAUAUAUAGUGUUACCGCGGGCCUUGUUUGCUGGCGCAGCAAAACUAGGGUUACAGCCGGCUUAGUUCGCUGGCGCUCCGGUGAAGGGUGAUGUGGACGGAAGGAUUUUUUUCCCUGCCUUGCCAAGCUGGAGGAGGCGCAGAAAUUUUAGGGCUGUAAAGGAGUCACUUAAGAAUCAGCGAUAUCAAAGAUGAUCUUUUGGAGCGCAAUGAUUUUUCUAACAUCUUUCUCCGUCUCGUUUAUUGUUGGGAUGCCCUAGAGGCGUUGCUGAUGAUUUCAGAGUAUGCUUUUCUCCAUCAUUGUCUAUAAUGUCGGAAAAACUCGUCUGUCUUCCCCAAAUCCUUGCCCCCCAAAAUUCAAGAAACGACGGUAGUCACGAAAUUUUGACCGACGUUGCAUCGGAAGUAACGAAGGGAGCUCGCUCGCUGAGUGUGAGUGUUGUUUAGCAUUUAUUGCUACGUCCGGACUCCGCACAGAAUAAUUUCUCCUUCUUGCUUCUUUGGUCUGAUCUGUGGCAGUAAUCGCUUAUAUGACGAAGCUUCUUUGCCUCCGUCGACUUCUGACAAUAAUAAGGUAUUUAAAUGCUGAACAAACAUUCUAUGAUCAAAAUAAUCAAUAUAAGUCGUCUGUUGGAUUGUUCUGGAUUUUCUUUAUAUUUAUGGACAUGCCACACUUUUAAAAAUAAGGAACCAUUGUGGACAAUGAGAAGCAAUAUCCGAAUGUUGAGGUAUAUUUCUACAACUAAUGGCUGAUAGUUAUAUUCAAAACUCAAAACUUGCUUGUUAGUUGUAUUUUGUGUUCCGUAAUCAUCAAGAUUUCUCUUGAAAGAAUUGGGCUGGUGAUUGAUCAACAAGUGACUGAUCUUCUGCAACCCAUGUUUCUUGAUACUCAUUUUGCAGUGGCGAACAUUAAGGAUGGCUUGAAAAUUCUCAGGCAAUCCAUGUUAUGAUUUUCCCUAUUUAUCCUUGAGGUGAGAGGAAUUUCAGAAAGCUGUUUUUUGUGUGUUGGAAUUCAGUAGUUAUAUUGUCCUCUCUCUCUCUCUCUCUCUCUCUCUCUCUCUCUCUCUCAGCACUGUGCUGUAUAUAUUAUUGCAAAAAAAAAUGCUCAGCAUGUCUUACUGGCAACCCAAGUGUCGCUACCUCUUCCUGAUCAUUACCUUAGAAAUUCAAGUGCUUCUGUAUCCAUUAUAUUUCUUUGCUAGUUGGAAAUUUGAAAUUGCACUGAUGGGGGUUAAUAUUUUUCAUUUAGAGAUGGAAGGCCUAUCAGUAGCUUCAUCUCCACAUGAAACACAAUUGAAAAAGACUAAUUAUAUGGCAUUUUUGAAGAUUAGUGUCAUACAAAUAACAUUUAGUAGUGUGCUGUGAUUAUCUCUUUUAUGAGUGAAAAGUUGUGAGAGCAAUGAUGGUGAUGAUUUAGAAUUUAGCUGUUGACAGCACAUGGCGGCUAUGAAAUUUCCUUAUGUUUCCUAUGACAUGGGAUGUUUGGAUGGCCUAGAGCAUCUCAGGCAACCACAUCUCCCAUUUGCAUGGGAAUUAAAGAGUAGCAAAACUUAGAAUGCGAAACAAGCAUAUACGUGAAAAGGUCAAAGUAACUUCAAUGGCAGAUAAGAUUAGAGAGAGUUGUCUUAGAUUGUUUGAUCACAAAAAAUGCUGACCUUUCGAUGAUCCGGUUGGGAGAGUAGAUCUGACCUAUGUUUUAAAAGAGGUAGACAUAAAAAGACUUGGUUAGAAAGUAUUAGAAAUAACUUUUGUUUAGUUGAUUUAAAUGAGAAUUUGACUUUUAGUACGACACAAUGGAGAAAAAUGAUUCAUGUAUAACCCAUGUAUAGGGAUAAAAGCUUGUUGUUGUUGUUGUUAUCGUUGGGUUGGACAGUUGUGAGCUAAUCUUGUACAAGUUUGAAGAUUGCUCCCCAUUAUUUUGUUAGACAACUGCAUUAUUUGCCUCAAGAAAUUACUAGUCUGCAUGUUAUUUUUAUGGUUUUGUAACAUUUUCUUUUCUCAAGUAGAAGCAAGGGUUUAAUUAAGGGUAUGUUCCCUAUUUAUCUUCUUAGCCUAUGCUGACCUUAAAGAGGGAUGGCCUUGGGAGACAAAAACAGUGAGAGACGGAAAAGUUCAUACAUCAUGGAUCCUGUACUAUUAGUUCUGCCUACGAAGUUGGUUGCUCGAUUGAAGUGAAUGCUUAUGCUCUAUCUUUCUCUCAUAUUGAAUGGAGUUGCAUAGGGGGCAAAAAAACAGCAUUUAAAGAUGAGAGUAAGAGAAAGAGGUAGAGAGGAAAAAUUAUGAUUGAUCUGUCAUAAAAAAAUAAUCAUGAUUGGGCAUGAAUCUCGAGGUAAAAUCAAAUUGGAAACUUUUGAAAUUAAAUAUGGGACCAUCCGAUCUCUGAUUUCAGCUAACUUAUUGUCGAGCUAAACAUCUCGAAAAGACAAACCCAACGACACCAAAUUCGACUCAAUAUGAGCCCAAAUGAGUCCAAAUCAAAGACCCGAAGCGCAUUUGGAAGGUUUAAACUAAAUUAGGUGACCAAAUGUUUUCCAAGUGUGACAUGCUUAUAGUCGAAUCGAGCGGCUCGACGAGAGUAAUCUAACGGACCAAAGAUCUAUGAAUUCUGACAUCAUUAAGACACUAAAAUACUUGAGAGGAAAUGAAAUAAGAGAGGAGAGCUAGAGAAAUAUGAGAUCUUUCUUGCCACCAAGCUCCUCUUCGACCACCGCCCGGCCACCGACUGUUGCCAGACUUACUCCUAGCCACCAAUUGUCUUGUCAUAUAUUUUCAAGACUUGGUAGCCUUGACCACCUCCCUCAUCUGUCGACUAUGGUCUUGCUAACCAAACAAAUAUGUCAAUACUGAUUCUUCUAAUUCCCACCAUGUAAUGCACUCUAUAUGAUGUAUAUUUGCUACAUCAGGCUAAGGCCUUCCCCCCAAGGAAGGUUCUCAUUUUGCAAUCGACUGUAAACACUAGUGUCUCUUAUGAAUGCUGCACCCUCUCUUUUAUCUGAUUAUGUGUUGGAUUGUGUUACAAAGGUAAGAUGUUAAACUUUGUAUUUCUCUAUCACCGUGAAUAUUCUAGGACGCAACAAUGAUAUAUUUGAAAUUGUGAUGGAGAUUAAGGGAGUUGAAGCACAUGAUCUGAUAGUGAUUCAUGUUUUUGUUGGUAACAAAGAACUGUUGUUGGUAACAAAGAACUGUUGUUGGAUACUUAUUUUUUCAUUAUAAUUUAUAUAAAUGCAAUUCGUACCAGAGAAGUAAUUUUUGAUAGUUCUCAAGUUCCAUGUUUGAUGUCGUGUCUGAAGAUCCCUAAUGAGUUUGUUAGUAGUGCACUCUCUCUCUCUCUAUACACUCGCACACACAUAUAUUUGAAGAUUGGUGUCGUACUCAUAAUGGGUAAUAGACUAAUAAUUCUGAGACUAUUUCUUUCAGGAUUUAAAAAUUGUAAGGAAGAUUAUGAUGUUGAUAAUGAUUUAGAAUUUAGCUUGGUUGUGCAGGGUUGCUCAUUGCUGUGGAGUAUCUCUAUGUUUUUUAUAGUACAACAUGUAUUCGAUGCCUAAAUAUGAAUUAUUCAUGAACAAUGAAUUUUUUUGACUCUCUAAGUGAAAGGGGAUCUGAAGAUCAACGUGAAGGCAAGUAACUCCUUUACUGUGGGGAAUGUCUUAGUGGUAGUGCUGCUGGUCCCCCAGUAUGAUUUCCUCCACACCCUUUGAUUAUAUUGACAAGUCAUCAAGGAUGGCCUUUAGUAACAAUUGAUGCAGCCGUCAGCUAUUUUUACCCACUUUUUUGGAUGCUUGAUCUACUAUCUCUUUUACCUUUUGUCUAUCUUUAGCUUUGGGAAUAUCCAAGGGCUUUUGAACUCUCUCUAGACCCUUUGUUUUGCAUAUGUAAUACAUCAUCGAGAAUUGCCUUGAUCGUGCUUUCUCGAUCAGGAAUGAAUCUUGAUGUAUAUUUGAAUCGGAAACUUCCAAAAUUAAUUUUGGGACCAUUUGAGCUUUGACUUUUGCAAAGUUAUAGCCACGUUGUAUGUCUCGAUUAGACAAAUUCAAUGACGCGAAAAGUGGUCCAAUCUGAGUCCGAGUGAGCCUGAUCAAGCACUUGAAGUGUAAUUGAAAACUUCUAGGCAUUAAUUAGAUAACUAAAAUAGAUCUUUAAAUCUUGCAUACUUAUAUUUGGAUCAAGCAUCUCGACGAGAAAUCCAACAAUCCUCUCUUAAUUUCGAUAACAAUAAGGCAUUUAAAAUGUUGAAUGAAUGCUCUAUGAUUAAAAUAAUUAAUACAUGUUGCUGAUUGAUUGUUCCAGAAUUUCUCUAUAUUUAUCAGACAUGCCACUUUUAAAAUCAUGAAGCAUUGUAGACAAUGAGCUAUAAUAUUUGAAUGGUGAGGUAUAUGUUAAACUCAGAUAAUUGGAGAAGGAAAAUGCCUAAUUUUAUUGCAUAAAGCUCUCUCUAUUUAUAGAUCUAUACAAAAUAUCUUAAUAAGGAAACAAAUAAUUACAAAAUAAUGUAUGAUUGUACUAGUAUAAUUCUUACUAAAUCAACCACCAAAACAUGGAUGGAGAUUGGUGUGAUUCAGGUGAGCCUUCCAUGGAUCUUCAUGCUGGCCAUGGGAUCAAAAGGGAAGGGACGGCUUGGAUUGAUGGGAUGAAAUAAUUAAUGACUGAUAGGUAUAUUCAAAACUCAAAGCUUGCUUAUUUUCUGCAAUAAUGUGAUCUCUCGAAAGAAUUGGGUUGGUGAUUUCCAACAAAUGACUGAUCUUCUUCUCCCCAAGUUUUUUAUACUCAUUUUUCAAUGGUGAACAUCAAGGAUGGCCUGAAAAUUCUUAGGCAACCGAUGUUGCAUAAUUUUAAUGAAUGAUACAUUAACUAAAUUCUUCUAUAAUUCACACACGAGUGUGUAUCAUUUUUAUUCUUAAAAGUAAGAAUCAAUGCUCCUUCACUCAUCUGACAUCUUUUUAGCCCUCAAAAUAAUAUUAAGAAGUUUAAUAAGUCAAAAAAUUUCUUGUUGUUUUAUGCCAAAAUCGUUUCAUGUGUGCGUGGGAAUUAAAUUUGCAAUGAGAAGCAAUAUCUGAAUGGUGAGGUAUAUUUCUACAAUUAAUGGCUGAUAGUUAUAUUGAAAAUUCGAAGCUUGCUUGUUAGUUAGUUGUAUUUUGUUUUCCUCAAUAAUGUGAUUGCCAACGACUGACUGAUCUUCUACUACCUAGGUUUCUCAUAAUCAUUUUUCAAUGGUGAACAUAAAGGAUGGCCUGAUAAUUCUCAGGCAACCGGUGUUGUAUAAUUUUAAUGUAUGAUACUUUAAUUUAAUUCUACCAUAAUUCACACACUCUUGUGCAUCAUUUUUAUUCUUAAAAGUAAGAGCCAAUACUCAUCUGACAUCUUUUGUCUUCAAAAUAAUAUUAAGAAGUUUAGCAAGCCAAAAAAUUUCUUGAUCUCCUAAGCAUUUUCACAUUUCUAUAUGAAGUGUCAUCUUUCGAAGACGACAUAUUUGAAAAGAAAAAAAAAAUCUCAAUUGGUUUGGCUAUGUACAAUUAAUAGUUGAAAAUGUGCAAAUUAGACUAGUUGAUAAAAUUAGUGUUAGCGGAUAGAAUUGUUCAAAAUGAUUUCUGAUGAAUAUAUAUAAAACCUCAAAUAAUACUAAACAAGUAUGAGAAAUGAGGAUUCAUUAUGUGGAUCCCAAAUAGUUAUGAUAAAGGCAUAUGGCUAAUGAUGAUGAUGAUGGGCAUUAUAAUGACAUGCUUAACAACCAGCCAGCAAUUCCUCUUCCUCAUGUGAUUAUGGUGUGGUGUACAAGUAAAGCUUAGAUUUAUUAGUGAACCGCUGCAGUGGUACUGCUUUUUCUAGAUUUGUAAUGUCAUGAGUUUGGGGGUUUCUUUCUCAUUUCUUGUAUAUUCUAAUAAUUUUUUUAAGGCCUU